CAUGGAGGGUGAGAAUCCCGUUACGGCCAUCAUUGCUUGUGUACGAUACGCUUUCAAAGAGUCAAGUUGUUUGAGAUUGCAGCUUAAAAUGGGAGGUAAAUUUCUCCUAAGGCUAAAUAUUGGCGAGAGACCGAUAGCGAACAAGUACCGUGAGGGAAAGAUGAAAAGCACUUUGAAAAGAGAGUUAAAUAGUACGUGAAAUUGUUGAAAGGGAAACGAUUGAAGCCAGUCGUACCGACGGAGAAUCAACUUUUGGAAUGCGUUUCGGGGUAUUCGAGGAGUUUAAAAGCCCUCUUGUGCUUUUGUAUUCGUGUUUCUUGGGUGCACUUCUUCGUAUGGUAGGUUAACAUCAAUUUUGGACGUUAUAAAAUGACUGGGGGAAUGUAGCUUCGAUUUCGAUUGAAGUGUUAUAGCCUCUGGUAUAUGUAAUGACUCGGGACUGAGGAUUGCAACGAAUACCCUUUGGGCUAUCCGUCUGGUUUCUGACUGUCGCUUUGGUGCCGAAAGCUUGCUUACGGUUAUCGAGGUUGAUGGUCAAUAGAUUAGAAGGGUAAAUGGGUUAAACGGAUUAAAUUCGUUAAGGAUGUUGACGUAAUGG
rnacentral:rRNA from 1 species